AUCAUAUGCUUGUCUCAAAGAUUAAGCCAUGCAUGUCUCAGUACAAGCCAAAUUAAGGUGAAACCGCGAAAGGCUCAUUAAAUCAGUUAUGGUUCCUUAGAUCGUACCCACAUUUACUUGGAUAACUGUGGUAAUUCUAGAGCUAAUACAUGCAAACAGAGCUCCGACCGGAGACGGAAGGAGUGCUUUUAUUAGAUCAAAACCAAUCGGCGGCGGGUUCUCAUUCGUUAACGCGUUUGGUUCCCGUUCGUCGCCCUGCUUGGUGACUCUGAAUAACUUUAUGCUGAUCGCACGGUCUCGUACCGGCGACGCAUCUUUCAAAUGUCUGCCUUAUCAACUGUCGAUGGUAGGUUCUGCGCCUACCAUGGUUGUAACGGGUAACGGGGAAUCAGGGUUCGAUUCCGGAGAGGGAGCCUGAGAAACGGCUACCACAUCCAAGGAAGGCAGCAGGCGCGCAAAUUACCCACUCCCGGCACGGGGAGGUAGUGACGAAAAAUAACGAUACGGGACUCAUCCGAGGCCCCGUAAUCGGAAUGAGUACACUUUAAAUCCUUUAACGAGGACCAAUUGGAGGGCAAGUCUGGUGCCAGCAGCCGCGGUAAUUCCAGCUCCAAUAGCGUAUAUUAAAGUUGUUGCGGUUAAAAAGCUCGUAGUUGAAUCUGUGUCCCGCGCUGUCGGUUCACCGCCCGCGGUGUUCAACUGGCAUGUUCCGCGGGACGUCCUGCCGGUGGGUGUGUGCACGCGUCACGUUGCGGUGUACGUUUGUGGGUCUUGUGGACCAUGUGUUUAGCUGUCGCAUUUAUGUGUUCAGCGGCAUGUGUGUUUCUUGACGCCUGCGUGCAUUCGUGCUGGCGUGCGGUACCACCCGACUUACGAAUCCUGUCUAGGUGCUCUUAAUUGAGUGUCGAGACGGGCCGGCACGUUUACUUUGAACAAAUUAGAGUGCUCAAAGCAGGCUAAAAUUUCGCCUGAAUAUUGUGUGCAUGGAAUAAUGGAACAGGACCUCGGUUCUAUUUUGUUGGUUUUCGGAACCCCGAGGUAAUGAUUAAUAGGGACAGAUGGGGGCAUUCGUAUUGCGACGUUAGAGGUGAAAUUCUUGGAUCGUCGCAAGACGGACAGAAGCGAAAGCAUUUGCCAAAAAUGUUUUCAUUAAUCAAGAACGAAAGUCAGAGGUUCGAAGGCGAUCAGAUACCGCCCUAGUUCUGACCAUAAACGAUGCCAGCUAGCGAUCCGCCGACGUUCCUCCGAUGACUCGGCGGGCAGCUUCCGGGAAACCAAAGCUUUUGGGUUCCGGGGGAAGUAUGGUUGCAAAGCUGAAACUUAAAGGAAUUGACGGAAGGGCACCACCAGGAGUGGAGCCUGCGGCUUAAUUUGACUCAACACGGGAAACCUCACCAGGCCCGGACACCGGAAGGAUUGACAGAUUGAGAGCUCUUUCUUGAUUCGGUGGGUGGUGGUGCAUGGCCGUUCUUAGUUGGUGGAGCGAUUUGUCUGGUUAAUUCCGAUAACGAACGAGACUCUAGCCUGCUAACUAGGCGUUACUUACCGGUAUCUCGAAGGCUCGCGUCAUUCGUUACCGGCGUGUUCUUAUCACGUGUGUGAUUGUGUUGUGUGCAUUUCGGUGUUACACGGCCUUCAUGCGCGCGUUAGUCACGUUUGGUUCGGGUGUUCGCGGUUUUUACUACCGGCGUACAAUUGAAUCUUCUUAGAGGGACAGGCGGCUCCUAGCCGCACGAGAUUGAGCAAUAACAGGUCUGUGAUGCCCUUAGAUGUUCUGGGCCGCACGCGCGCUACACUGAAGGAAUCAGCGUGUCUUCCCUGGCCGAAUGGUCCGGGUAACCCGCUGAACCUCCUUCGUGCUAGGGAUUGGGGAUUGCAAUUAUUCCCCAUGAACGAGGAAUUCCCAGUAAGCGCGAGUCAUAAGCUCGCGUUGAUUACGUCCCUGCCCUUUGUACACACCGCCCGUCGCUACUACCGAUUGAAUGAUUUAGUGAGGUCUUCGGACCGGUACGCGAUGGUGUUUCUGCACCGUCGAUGUCGCUGGGAAGAUGACCAAACUUGAUCAUUUAGAGAAGU
rnacentral:rRNA from 1 species